rnacentral:rRNA from 1 species
UACGUAGGUGGCAAGCGUUAUCCGGAUUUAUUGGGUGUAAAGGGCGUGUAGGCGGGAAAGCAAGUCAGAUGUGAAAACUCAGGGCUCAACCCUGAGCCUGCAUUUGAAACUGUUUUUCUUGAGUGCUGGAGAGGCAAUCGGAAUUCCGUGUGUAGCGGUGAAAUGCGUAGAUAUACGGAGGAACACCAGUGGCGAAGGUGGAUUGCUGGACAGUAACUGACGCUGAGGCGCGAAAGCGUGGGGAGCAAACAGG